rnacentral:rRNA from 1 species
UGCAGUCGAGCGAACAGACGAGGAGCUUGCUCCUCUGACGUUAGCGGCGGACGGGUGAGUAACACGUGGAUAACCUACCUAUAAGACUGGGAUAACUUCGGGAAACCGGAGCUAAUACCGGAUAACAUGUUGAACCGCAUGGUUCAACAGUGAAAGACGGUCUUGCUGUCACUUAUAGAUGGAUCCGCGCCGCAUUAGCUAGUUGGUAAGGUAACGGCUUACCAAGGCAACGAUGCGUAGCCGACCUGAGAGGGUGAUCGGCCACACUGGAACUGAGACACGGUCCAGACUCCUACGGGAGGCAGCAGUAGGGAAUCUUCCGCAAUGGGCGAAAGCCUGACGGAGCAACGCCGCGUGAGUGAAGAAGGUCUUCGGAUCGUAAAACUCUGUUAUUAGGGAAGAACAAAUGUGUAAGUAACUAUGCACGUCUUGACGGUACCUAAUCAGAAAGCCACGGCUAACUACGUGCCAGCAGCCGCGGUAAUACGUAGGUGGCAAGCGUUAUCCGGAAUUAUUGGGCGUAAAGCGCGCGUAGGCGGUUUUUUAAGUCUGAUGUGAAAGCCCACGGCUCAACCGUGGAGGGUCAUUGGAAACUGGAAAACUUGAGUGCAGAAGAGGAAAGUGGAAUUCCAUGUGUAGCGGUGAAAUGCGCAGAGAUAUGGAGGAACACCAGUGGCGAAGGCGACUUUCUGGUCUGUAACUGACGCUGAUGUGCGAAAGCGU